rnacentral:rRNA from 1 species
UACGGAGGAUGCGAGCGUUAUCCGGAUUUAUUGGGUUUAAAGGGUGCGCAGGCGGCACGGCAAGCCGGCGGUCAAAUCGCGGGGCUCAACCCCGCCCAGCCGUCGGAACUGCCGGGCUAGAGUGGGCGAGAAGUACGCGGAAUGCGUGGUGUAGCGGUGAAAUGCAUAGAUAUCACGCAGAACUCCGAUUGCGAAGGCAGCGCACCGGCGCCCUACUGACGCUCAGGCACGAAAGCGUGGGUAUCGAACAGG